UACGAAGGGGGCUAGCGUUGCUCGGAAUUACUGGGCGUAAAGCGCACGUAGGCGGAUUGUUAAGUCGGGGGUGAAAUCCUGGAGCUCAACUCCAGAACUGCCUUCGAAACUGGCGAUCUUGAGUCCGGGAGAGGUGAGUGGAACUGCGAGUGUAGAGGUGAAAUUCGUAGAUAUUCGCAAGAACACCAGUGGCGAAGGCGGCUCACUGUCCCGGUACUGACGCUGAGGUGCGAAAGCGUGGGGAGCAAACAGG
rnacentral:rRNA from 1 species